UACAGAGGGUGCGAGCGUUAAUCGGAAUUACUGGGCGUAAAGGGCGCGUAGGCGGUUAUAUAAGUUAGAUGUGAAAUCCCUGGGCUUAACCUAGGAACUGCAUCUAAUACUGUAUGACUAGAGUGCAGUAGAGGAUAGUGGAAUUUCCGGUGUAGCGGUGAAAUGCGUAGAUAUCGGAAGGAACACCAGUGGCGAAGGCGGCUAUCUGGACUGACACUGACGCUGAGGCGCGAAAGCGUGGGGAGCAAACAGG
rnacentral:rRNA from 1 species